rnacentral:rRNA from 1 species
UACGAAGGGGGCUAGCGUUGCUCGGAAUUACUGGGCGUAAAGCGCACGUAGGCGGCUUCUAAGUCGGGGGUGAAAUCCUGGAGCUCAACUCCAGAACUGCCUUCGAUACUGGAGAGCUUGAGUCCGGGAGGAGGUGAGUGGAACUGUGAGUGUAGAGGUGAAAUUCGUAGAUAUUCGCAAGAACACCAGUGGCGAAGGCGGCUCACUGGCCCGGUACUGACGCUGAGGUGCGAAAGCGUGGGGAGCAAACAGG